CUGUGUGUUUGCUGGAGAUAACUGCAUGUCUUGAGACAAGAUGCAGACACUCCAGGAAUUUGUUUAACGGGGGCCCACUUGCAGCGGGAGAAUUCUUGCGGCCACAUCUGUAGUGUUUUUGUCUGGAAUUAGGCUUGAUGGAGGUGCAGAAGCAACAUCCUGCAGGAGUCAAAGUGUGACUGCUUUGCUGCUGUUAACAGCCAGAUGCUCACCAGAAGGGAUCCACUGACUGCACUGAAAUAUCUACCGUGGGAGCAGAGAGUUCAUCGCCUGGCUCUUAAAAAUAAAGAUGAAUCCCCUCCACCCCCUGCAGCAUGCUGCUUUUUGGAGUCCUCUUCUUUGGUGUGUGAAUCUCCACAUCCAUUUUGUGAGGAGGUCUAGAUGAUGAACGUGAAAUGGGAUAUUUUCUCACUUACUUGGCACAAGAAAGAAUCCCAGUGCAUUUUACGACCUGGAGAGUUAAGUUUGCAUAUCAUCAGCCUGGAAGCACCCGGUUUUAGCAUGCCAUAGAAAACAUUCAAUGCAGCUGUUUCGUUUCUGCAACUGUAACGUGAGACCUCGAAAUGUCCUUUCCUCCCAACAUGAAACGAGUUUGCAAUAUUGAAGAUGCACAGUUUGUAAGCAGG